GAUGAACGCUGGCGGCGUGCCUAAUACAUGCAAGUCGAGCGAACAGACGCUGCGCUUGCGCCUCGGACGUUAGCGGCGGACGGGUGUGUAACACGUGGAUCACCUACCUAUAUGACUGGGAUAACUUGGAAACACCGGCGCUAAUACCGGAGAAUAUCUUGAACCGCAGGGUUCGAUGGUGAAAUUCGGUGUUGCUGUCACGUAUAGCUGGUUCCGCGCCGCAUUAGCUGGUUGGUAAGGUAAUGGCUUAUCAAGGCUACGAUGCGUAGCCGACCGGUGAGGGUGGUCGCCGGCACGGGAGGGGAGCCAGGGUCAAGAGGCCUAAGGGAGGCCGCAGAAGGGUACGGUCCGCAACAGGCGAAAGCAUGACGGAGCAACGGCGCGUGAGAGAUGAAGAUCUUCGGAGCGUGAAACCCGGUUAUGGGUGAAGAACAAAUGUGGCAGUAAACAUGGACGUAUUGACGGUAACUAAUCAGAAAGCACCGGCUAACUACGUG
rnacentral:rRNA from 1 species